GAUGAACGCUGGCGGCGUGCCUAAUACAUGCAAGUCGAGCGAACAGACGAGGAGCUUGCUCCUCUGACGUUAGCGGCGGACGGGUGAGUAACACGUGGAUAACCUACCUAUAAGACUGGGAUAACUUCGGGAAACCGGAGCUAAUACCGGAUAAUAUAUUGAACCGCAUGGUUCAAUAGUGAAAGACGGUUUUGCUGUCACUUAUAGAUGGAUCCGCGCCGCAUUAGCUAGUUGGUAAGGUAACGGCUUACCAAGGCAUCGAUGCGUAGCCGACCUGAGAGGGUGAUCGGCCACACUGGAACUGAGCCACGGUCCAGACUCCUACGGGAGGCAGCAGUAGGGAAUCUUCCGCAAUGGGCGAAAGCCUGACGGAGCAACGCCGCGUGAGUGAUGAAGGUCUUCGGAUCGUAAAACUCUGUUAUUAGGGAAGAACAAAUGUGUAAGUAACUAUGCACGUCUUGACGGUACCUAAUCAGAAAGCCACGGCUAACUACGUG
rnacentral:rRNA from 1 species